GGACAUUGUUUCCCAACGUUUACAUUGUGUGGGAUUCAUAACCGCGUCUUGGCUAGACGGCCGUUUACAAUGUACACCCUCAGAUAUCAGACGUAUGGACGCCGCCCCUUGUUUUAAGUAAUGCCGCUGAUGAAAUUAAAUUGCUGAACGAUAAUUCAGACAUUGCAAGCUGCCCUGUUUACCUUCUCAGUUUUGGAGUUGUUGGAUGGUUGAUUCCUGCCAGCUUUACAGCACAGUGCACAAUCAACAUCAAAUACUACCCGUUUGAUUCUCAAGACUGCAAGAU